rnacentral:tRNA from 1 species
GGCCCUGUAGUGAAGUUCAUAGUGAGUUGCAAGCUCAUUGAUGUACACAGAGUGUACCGGGGCCU